rnacentral:rRNA from 1 species
UACGUAGGGUGCGAGCGUUAAUCGGAAUUACUGGGCGUAAAGUGUGCGCAGGCGGCCGCGCAAGUCGAGUGUGAAAGCCCCGAGCUUAACUUGGGAAUUGCGCUCGAAACUACGUGGCUGGAGUGUGGCAGAGGAAGGUGGAAUUCCAGGUGUAGCGGUGAAAUGCGUAGAGAUCUGGAGGAACACCGAUGGCGAAGGCAGCCUUCUGGGCCAACACUGACGCUCAUGCACGAAAGCGCGGGGAGCAAACAGG